GGAUUAGAUACCCUGGUAGUCCACGCCGUAAACGAUGUCAACUAGCUGUUAAAAAUAAGAUUUAGUGGCGUAGCUAACGCGUUAAGUUGACCGCCUGGGAAGUACGGCCGCAAGGCUAAAACUCAAAUGAAUUGACGGGGACCCGCACAAGCGGUGGAGCAUGUGGUUUAAUUCGAUGCAACGCGAAGAACCUUACCUACCCUUGACAUCUUCGGAAAGUUUCGUAAUGAAACUGUGCCUUCGGGAACCGAAUGACAGGUGUUGCAUGGCUGUCGUCAGCUCGUGCUG
rnacentral:rRNA from 1 species